AGCAUCAUCCAUUUACCUCUGAAGUCAAAAGUGCCCUAUCUUCCAUCCAAUUCAACACCAACUCUGGAAUCAGCAAAAUCCACAGACUUAAUUAAGCAAUGCCACAUUUGGAUCAUGAACAUGGAUAUAGGAUAGAGAAAAACUGACAACGGAGAGGUAUUCAGAACAGCUGCUUCUUUUUGGUUGCUGGUGGCAGGGAUAUUAUGGAGGAGGGUUAAAUGUGGCAUUUGAAGGUUGGUGAGUAACAACAUCUUUUAAAACAUGGUGAAUUCCAACAAGAAAAGACCAAGGCAACAGACGCAUGAGAGUGAGGUAUUUAUCUGAGGGCGAUUGAAGUCACCAGCUUAACAGGGCCAUAAGAUUUUGGGCCAAAUGUACCAAGUGGAAAGACCUUAAGCCAGAGAACUCCAGGUUCAAGAACCACCACCUGCAAACUUGGCAAAUUUGGACAAAUGUCUCUCUGAGUUUCAUUGUCUUCAUCCACAAAUAAAGCAAGAUUACUUCGCCUACAGAAUUGCGGAAUUAUGACCAGACCAUGAGGGUAUGAAGGAUGAGGAAAAGGGAGCAGUCAUGGAGCUGUUUUGGAGGGAGUCAUAAUUCCUUAGACCUCUGACAACUGGAACUCUCAAUCUGCCAGUGAAAGCUGACAUGAGCCCAAUAAGGAUGGUCUUUUCUAUUCAAAGAUAGGGACACCCUCUUUUUAAAGGACAUUCAAUUCAAAUGUAUCUUCUCUGGUUAAAGUAUGGUGAAGUCUGUCCUGUGGGCACUCCCCAUUGACUCCUAGCAGCUCUUGAGCCCCAUCUUCAGGAUCCGUACUUUGAUAGUCACUGACAAUUAGCUUUGAAAAUCUAUAGUUCCAAUCCUGUGAAAUGAGAAGAAUGUUGAAGCUAUAAAGGAGGUCUUUGCCUGCAUUCAGAUUCUGACACCAAAGACUCCUCUGAUUAUACUGAAGUAUGUAAGAAAACCUUCUCUUGAAAUCAAGGACCAUUUCUCUUCAUCUUAUCUUGAGCUACAUACCAAAUAUGAGUACACAUAGUUAGGAUUCAAUAAAUAAUUUAAGAUACUUGUGAACACCUUGCUCUGACUGGUUCUAUUUUUACAUUCAGAGAGGAAAGCAUCCUGUAUUCUCCCUAUAAACAAAUCUAGGAGAAUAGGGUCAUGGACAUCCUAUGUACACAGAAUUACAGUCCGAUGUUGGGUAUCUUACUCCUGUGAAGUGAAGGGAAAUAGAAAAGUAAACAAAGAAGACCACAGUAUAAGAUGUCACCUUAAAAUAUAAACCUGAAGACAAGAAAAACCAGGCUCAAGGAACAAAUGAGCAGGAAAGUUGAAAUUCUAGAAUACAUUUGUUUUAUACCAAUAUUAUUUGCAUCUUGUUUAAAUGAAAAGUUGUUUACAUACACAAUGGAUGACUACAAAGAAACAGCAUGGAAACUGGAAUCAGAGGCCUGUGUCUGAAUUUCAUGUCUACCACUGAACAACUGCAUGACACUGGGAAAUUUACUUAGUUUCUAUAGACCUCAUUUUUCUUAUCUGUAAAAUGGCUUCCACAAUCUGAAACUCAAAGGUCUCUUGACAAGAUUGAAUGUGAUAAUGCAUGUAAGGGAUCAGGACGAAACCCAGCACAAAAAAAGACUGCAAGCCACACUGUUUACAAACACCGUUUCCAAGUAAAAAAAAAACCUGCUCAUUGAAACUGAAGGCACCAGUGUCUGUUGGGUUCAGCACGUAGUGAGACGCUCAACUACCUGCCUCAGGUAAGCUUAGUGUGCUUACGUACUUCACUAACGAUAGCUAGUUUAGAGGUUCUUUCCUCGUAAUUCAGGUGAUAUAAUUGCUCUAUGGUUAUGCCCUACCCACCUUGUCUUAAACAGUGCAAAAUAUGUGAUAUCAUUACACAUUUCUUAUCAGGAAAAUAUUUCAAAGGGCAGGCACUCUCUGUGUUUCCUUAGUAACAGCAGCUAUGUGGAGCAUCUUCUGUAUUAUGUUUAACAUGGUGCAAAUAUGAACAAGUAAUCACAACUCCUGUGCACCAGCAACUAGAGAAAUGUAGCUACAAUAAAAUAGGUGGCAUUCAUAUUUGUUUGUUGGCCAUACCUGGGACUUUUUAAGAACCUGUUUUUGGUUAAUCUUGUUUUUUUUUUUAAAUUCUAAACCCUUUUUUGUGUAAUGUUGCAGCAGAAGCGAGGGUCUCAGAAAACAUCUCCUGUUCUGAUCUGGCACAGUUCCAAUUAUAUGGAUAACCUUCCAUUUGUAAAGCUCUGAAAUAAGUGUCACAAGGAUACGUAGAUUUAAGAUGCAGGUCCAUCUAGAAGAAGUACAAUCUGGUUGAAGGAUGGUGGGGCAAUACAACAAGUACAUAACUCACUUUGUUGCAAGGCAUAAUUGGUAAAUCCUCAUCUACUGGGACUACAGAAGUUUGACAACCCCUGUCUCUCGUGUCUUAUGGCCACCAAUGACUGCAGUCUUUCAUUGUGAAUUUGGGUUUCGUCUCAGAAAUCUUCUCAACAUGAUGCUCUGUCAAGCCAACAAUGUUUGAGCAGUCAGCCAUUUGUUUAAUAUCUCUGGAUUAUUGCAUUGGUAAUUCUUGCUGAAAACACUCAAGUCACCUGGGAGAACUGAUCUGUUUAUUAAUAGCUUUUAGGAUUUCAACAUUUCAUAUUUAAACAGAGAAAUCUAACAUUACUUGACAGAAAACAGGAGUGGUCAUAGGAAUGAAAAAUUCACAUAUCUUUGGGAACCAAGUUAUUAUUAUCAAUGAGUGUCAUGGACUGGAUAAGAAAACAAGGACUGGUUGGACCAGAAUUAUAGCAGGAUACAGACACAAAGGCAUUUAAAUUUUAAAAUUCUAAGAAUGAAAUAUAACUAUAGUAAAUACAUCUUUGGACUACUUUUGGCUUAUGGAUCAUGGUUUGCAAACCCUUGAUCUGUGACAUAGAUGUUAAAGGUGGGGUAAUGAGGUUGUGUGUGCAGAUCUCCAAACACCAGAGCAUCAUGGGCAGCACUAACCUGCAUGGUGCCCUUAGGAGGGCUGUAAGCCAGAAGCAAGUUCUCCAUUCUGCCCUAGUCAGGCGUGACUAUACCAAGGCUUAUAACUGGAGAUACAAGCCAAGCCAUAUACCUGGCAAUUCAGCAAAGUUCAGAGAAAUAUGGCAUGAAUUCAUACAAAUUAAUCAAGUGCAUAACAUUAAGAAACUGCAAUUUUGAGUUGUGCGUAUGCUUAUAGUGGCCCAUUUCUAAAUUAAAAGGAAGACUAUUUCUGUUU
rnacentral:lncRNA from 1 species